GAAAAUGUGAAGACAAAGCAUCCAGAGCUGCUGUACGAGUCCAAACUAUACAGAAUACUUCAAGGAGGAACUGGAAUUCCAAACGUCAAGUGGUUUGGUGUAGAGGGUGAUUACAACGUUUUGGUGAUGGACUUACUGGGGCCAAGCCUUGAGGAUCUCUUCAGCUUCUGUAACAGGAAACUGUCACUCAAAACUGUUUUGAUGCUUGCUGAUCAAAUGAUCAAUCGUGUCUAAUUCGUUCAUUCCAAGUCUUUCUUGCAUAGAGAUAUCAAGCCGGACAAUUUUCUCAUGGGUCUCGGGAAAAGGGCAAAUCAGGUUUAUUGUAUAGAUUUUGGUCUUGCGAAGAAGUAUAGGGAUAC